GACGAACGCUGGCGGCGUGCUUAACACAUGCAAGUCGAACGGUAAGGCCCCUUCGGGGGUACACGAGUGGCGAACGGGUGAGUAACACGUGAGCAACCUACCCUUGACUCUGGAAUAACAGCUGGAAACAGCUGCUAAUACUGGAUACGACCUCCGACGACAUCGUCGGGAGGUGGAAAGCUCCGGCGGUCAAGGAUGGGCUCGCGGCCUAUCAGCUUGUUGGUGAGGUAACGGCNCACCAAGGCCUCGACGGGUAGCCGGCCUGAGAGGGCGACCGGCCACACUGGGACUGAGACACGGCCCAGACUCCUACGGGAGGCAGCAGUGGGGAAUAUUGCACAAUGGGCGCAAGCCUGAUGCAGCAACGCCGCGUGAGGGACGACGGCCU
rnacentral:rRNA from 1 species